AAACGCGGAAGUGGAGCUCUGGCUUCCCGGGACGUCGGAGUCAAGGUCCCUGGAGCUGCCGCUCUGGCUCCUGGGCGAUUCCGGGGAGCCUUUCUCCCCAAUUUGCCAACUCCCUGGGCAUCUCUCUCUCUUCCUGGUCCCGCCACACCCAAACAACUCUUAUAGUUCCACCCGGUAUACUGGUCUCUUGACAGAAACUUUUGGGAAAUGCCCCUCCCCCAGCCCCUUGUCCGGGGCAACUUCCUUGUCUCUUCUCCCCCACCGGUGUUGGGGAGUUCCUUGUCUCCACUCCCAACCACAGAGCCACAAGUACAUUAUCUAUGCCCAGGCGAGUCCCUAUGCCCAGGCUAGGAGAGCCGCACUUCUUCCUACAGCUGACACGUUUGGUUUUUGGAGGGGAAAGGGGAGCUGUAGCUGAAUCAGUAAUGGAAAUUGGUUCUUCCAUCUCUGCUUCUCUCUACAAAGCUGCUUUAUAAUCUCGGCAGAGCUGUUUUCACUGCUUUUUUGGGAACGUAAUCCAGGUUUACCCAGCCUCACUUCAAGAACAAACAGAGACUAAUUAGUAUCUAUGAAUCCCAAUCCCCAGGAGAAAGAAACUGAUUGGUUCGAUUUAUGUCCGCUUGUGUACUCUUGGUACAAUCACCUUUGACCAUCAGGGCAGUUAUGUAGUCAGGUCUCUUUGUUUUGUAAAGCAAACAUGGCUGCCAGAACCCCAUCUUUGUAAGCUAUGUUCUCAAAGUUAUGUACUUGGCAAAGAUUCCAAAAAAUGUCCACCACAGACCAUAAACGAGUAAAUUGCAGCUGAACUUCAAAAGCAUAAAGAACAAUUGACAUGUUAAGGAUUUUCAACAGACUGACUCCUACUUAAACAAAUUCAGACCUGAAUUUAAAUGGAACUCCUUCAAAGAAGUCAUCCCUGACCCAAGCCCCAAUCAAAAUUUGGUGGCCCCAUUAUUAUCUUA